GGGAUGUGAUGAGUGGUUCGAACUCGUAUUAAAGAUGCGAGAUGGGUGUCCGCUCCAAAGCCUGGUUACGACAAUUGGGCACUCCCAUCUUAACCAAUCUGAUCCC